rnacentral:rRNA from 1 species
GAUGAACGCUGGCGGCGUGCCUAAUACAUGCAAGUCGAGCGAACAGACGAGGAGCUUGCUCCUCUGACGUUAGCGGCGGACGGGUGAGUAACACGUGGAUAACCUACCUAUAAGACUGGGAUAACUUCGGGAAACCGGCGCUAAUACCGGAUAAUAUAUUUAACCGCAUGGUUCAAUAGUGAAAGACGGUUUUGCUGUCACUUAUAGAUGGAUCCGCGCCGCAUUAGCUAGUUGGUAAGGUAACGGCUUACCAAGGCAACGAUGCGUAGCCGACCUGAGAGGGUGAUCGGCCACACUGGAACUGAGACACGGUCCAGACUCCUACGGGAGGCAGCAGUAGGGAAUCUUCCGCAAUGGGCGAAAGCCUGACGGAGCAACGCCGCGUGAGUGAUGAAGGUCUUCGGAUCGUAAAACUCUGUUAUUAGGGAAGAACAAAUGUGUAAGUAACUAUGCACGUCUUGACGGUACCUAAUCAGAAAGCCACGGCUAACUACGUG